CCAUGGCAUAAAGCAGACCAGUGGGAGACUGUGCUAGACCUGUAGUAGAGGCCAUUUCUGAAGAUAUACUUCACUGUCACAAGCCAAGAAUUCUUCACUGAUUAAAUA